rnacentral:lncRNA from 1 species
AUAUUUUAUUUAAAUGUGCAGGUUUUUUCCUUAAAGCUUUGUUUUGCAGGCCCUUCAGUCACAAUACUGAAGAGAAAAAUGUCCAGCACCCAGUUCAUUCAAAUGGUGGGCUGAGGGAUAAACCAGCUUUAGCUCCAUCAGCAGAUAUGGACAGCAAAACUAUGGAUGAUAUUGAUGAAGCUUUGUGUGUAGCUAUUUGUAAUCUCAGCCACUUACAUAAUGCAGAUGAGAUGCUGGAAUACUUGGAAUUGAAAGUGAAGCAGGAAGGAGACAAAGUUGGAGAAGCUGCAGAUAGAACGUUUGAUGAACUUAUUGCUU